UCAGGAGAGUACACAGAGGACACACGAUAACACAUACACACAGUGCAAUAGAACAUGUCAGACUCAGAGACCACCGCUCCCGCCGAGACCCCCGUCCCUGCCGCCUGUGAGACAAUCAAGGCUGAUCUGGACAAAUGUAUAAAGGAGAACGGAGAAGCGGCGUGUAAGGAGCUGAUGGAGGCGUUUGCUGCCUGUGUAAAGAGCAGUGCUGAGGGCUCAUGAGGAGCUCCACACACAGGACAUGUCCACUGCACUGAGUCCUCCACCUUCCCAGCAUUCCCUUCAGCACUGGACUGAAUGACUCUGGUGGGAUUUGGCAGCAGAACCCAUGUGCCCCGUGCCCCCCCCCGAGAGCUGAAACUGAAUCUUCCCGCCCCUCCUGUCCUUUGCAGCCAAAUGCGUCAAUCUAAUCUGUAGACAGUUUGGGAAAGCCCAUGGGUUUUAUGUAAAUUGUCUGUUCUAUUCACUUAAUGGUGAAAUAAAGUUUAAAAGAUUGAUAAGA